AUUGAACGCUGGCGGCAGGCCUAACGCAUGCAAGUCGAGCGGAUGAAGGGAGCUUGCUCCUGGAUUCAGCGGCGGACGGGUGAGUAAUGCCUAGGAAUCUGCCGGGUAGUGGGGGAUAACGUCCGGAAACGGGCGCUAAUACCGCAUACGUCCUGAGGGAGAAAGUGGGGGAUCUUCGGAUCUCACGCUAUCAGAUGAGCCUAGGUCGGAUUAGCUAGUUGGUGGGGUAAAGGCCUACCAAGGCGACGAUCCGUAACUGGUCUGAGAGGAUGAUCAGUCACACUGGAACUGAGACAGGGUCCAAACUCCUACGGGAGGCAGCAGUGGGGAAUAUUGGACGAGGGGCGAAAGCCUGAUCCAGCCAUGCCGCGUGUGUGAAGAAGGUCUUCGGAUUGUAAAGCACUUUAAGUUGGGAGGAAGAGCAGUAAGUUAAUACCUUGAUGUUUUGACGUUACCAACAGAAUAAGCACCGGCUAACUUCGUG
rnacentral:rRNA from 1 species